rnacentral:misc_RNA from 1 species
AAGGAUAAUAUACGGAAUAUCACYAUCAGGUGAUAAGCGAAUUAACGUGACAUAUUGUAUUCAGUUUUGAAUGCUCAUUCAUUUGAGGAUUCAGAAUGAWUUGUACAUUGAAAACUAGAUAAGUAAGUAUAGAUUUUACCAAGCAAAACCGAGUGACAAGCGUUUAAAAGCUUGAAACAAAAAAUUAUCGCUAGUCGUCAAAUGACGACUCACAUAAUUAAUAACUGGUGAUUUUGGAAAAAAUUGUAUUUCGGUAGACGACAUGAUGUUUUGAAAACGUUUGUCAGUCUAUGAAUCACAAGCAUGAGCGAAGGCGCUUACUGCGCGUAAGUAACUGAGUGAAUGUGAAGUGAUGAAGCCGAAUGCGAACGUUUGCCAAAAUAUCAUAUA